UAGGGAAUCUUCGGCAAUGGACGAAAGUCUGACCGAGCAACGCCGCGUGAGUGAAGAAGGUUUUCGGAUCGUAAAACUCUGUUGUUAGAGAAGAACAAGGACGUUAGUAACUGAACGUCCCCUGACGGUAUCUAACCAGAAAGCCACGUCUAACUACGUGCCAGCAGCCGCUGUAAUACGUAGGUGGCAAGCGUUGUCGGAUUUAUUGGGCGUAAAGCGAGCGCAGGCGGUUUCUUAAGUCUGAUGUGAAAGCCCCCGGCUCAACCGGGGAGGGUCAUUGGAAACUGAGAGACUUGAGUGCAGAAGAGGAGAGUGGAAUUCCAUGUGUAGCGGUGAAAUGCGUAGAUAUAUGGAGGAACACCAGUGGCGAAGGCGGCUAUCUGGUCUGUAACUGACGCUGAGGCUCGAAAGCGUGGGGAGCAAACAGG
rnacentral:rRNA from 1 species